rnacentral:rRNA from 1 species
UGUCCUGGACCCGAAGCGGGAUGAUCUAGCCCUGGGCAGGUUGAAGCGCGGGUAAGACCGCGUGGAGGACCGAACCCACCUGGGUUGAAAACCGGGGGGAUGACCUGGGGCUAGGGGUGAAAGGCCAAUCAAAUUCCGUGAUAGCUGGUUCUCUCCGAAAUGCAUUUAGGUGCAGCGUCGGUCGAUUGCGUCGCGGGGGUAGAGCUACCGGAUGCUUGCGGGCCCUUGUUGGGUACCAACAGCAGCCGAACUCCGAAUACCGUUGACGUGUAUUCCGGCAGUGAGUCGGCGGGGGAUAAGCUCCGUCGUCGAGAGGGAGACAGCCCAGACCGUCGUCUAAGGUCCCGAAGCGUGUGCUAAGUGGGAAAGGAUGUGGAGUCGCAUAGACAGCCAGGAGGUUGGCUCAGAAGCAGCCAUCCUUGAAAGAGUGCGUAACAGCUCACUGGUCUAGUGGUUCCGCGCCGACAAUGUAGCGGGGCUCAAGCACACCACCGAAGACGCGGCAGCAAUCUUCAUGGUUGCUGGGUAGGAGAGCGUCCUGCGAGGGGCGAAGCGGCGGUGGAAACCGGCCGUGGACUUCGUGGGAGUGAGAAUGCAGACAUGAGUAGCGAGAGACGGGUGAGGAUCCCGUCCGCUGGAUGACCAAGGGUUCCGGGGCCACGUUCGUCGUCCCCGGGUGAGUCGGGUCCUAAGGCGAGGCCGACAGGCGUAGUCGAAUGGAUGAACGGGUGGAUAUUCCCGUACCGACCAUGGACCGGCAAAACCGAGACGGUGAGUACUAACCUCCGCCUCGUGGUGGUUCCUUCCUUCGGGUUGGUUCCGCCGCGUGGUGUUGGGACCGUAGCCGCAGUAGGUCAGCGCAGGGGUGACACGGAAUGGGAGCCGGCCGCGGAGGUGGUUUUCCGUGGUCAAGCACGCAGCCAGUCAUGUAGGCAAAUCCGCAUGGCGCGCAUGGCGAGGUGUGAUGAUGGGAGCCGUUAUGGCUCGAUAUCCGGUUGUCCAGGCCGUCGAGAAAAGCCUCGGCGUGAGGGCCAUGGCCGCCCGUACCCCAAACCGACACUGGUGGUCAGGUAGAGAAUACCAAGGCGAUCGAGCGAAUCCUGGUCAAGGAACUCGGCAAAUCACUCCCGUGCCUUCGGUAUAAGGGAGACCCGCUGGGGUGAACCGGCUAGCCCGGGGAGCUUUGGUGGGUGGCACAGACCAGGGGGUAGCGACUGUUUACCAAAAACACAGGUGCAUGCGAAGGCGAAAGCCGCUGUAUAUGCACUGACGCCUGCCCGGUGCCGGAAGGUUAAGAGGAUCCGUCAGUCCUUCGGGAUGAAGCGGUGAAUUCAAGCCCCGGUAAACGGCGGUGGUAACUAUAACCAUCCUAAGGUAGCGAAAUUCCUUGUCGGGUAAGUUCCGACCUGCACGAAUGGCGUAACGACUUCCCCACUGUCUCGACCAGGAGCUCGGCGAAAUUGCAGUACGAGUAAAGAUGCUCGUUAAGCGCAGAAGGACGAAAAGACCCCGGGACCUUUACUAUACCUUGGUAUUGGCGUUAGGCGCGGAUUGUGUAGCAUAGGCGGGAGGCUUCGAAGCGUGGGCGCCAGCUCAUGUGGAGCCGCAAGGUGAAAUACCGCUCUGUUCUCGUUUGACGUCUAACCUCGACAAGUCAUCCUUGUCAGGGACAGUGCCUGGCGGGUAGUUCAACUGGGGCGGUUGCCUCCCAAAGAGUAACGGAGGCGCUCAAAGGUCCGCUCAGCCCGGUUGGCAAUCGGGUGUCGAGUGUAAUCGCACAAGCGGGCUUGACUGCGAGGACGACGGUCCGAGCAGGGACGAAAGUCGGAGAUAGUGAUCCGGUGCCGGCGCACGGGCGCGGCAUCGCUCAACGGAUAAAAGGUACCCCGGGGAUAACAGGCUGAUCAUUCCCAAGAGUCCAUAUCGACGGGAUGGUUUGGCACCUCGAUGUCGGCUCGUCGCAUCCUGGGGCUGGAGCAGGUCCCAAGGGUUCGGCUGUUCGCCGAUUAAAGCGGCACGCGAGCUGGGUUCAGAACGUCGUGAGACAGUUUGGUCUCUAUCCUCUGCGCUCGUUGGAAUCCUGAGGAGGCCUGCCCAUAGUACGAGAGGACCUGGGUGGACGAACCUCUGGUAUGCCGGU